CGGGGUGUAGCGCAGCUUGGUAGCGCACCUGAAUGGGGUUCAGGUGGUCGCCGGUUCGAAUCCGGCCACCCCGA
rnacentral:tRNA from 1 species